AAGUAUAGCCAUAGAGGGUGAUAGUCCCGUAUGCGAAAAACAAACCUUAGCUAGCAGUAUCCUGAGUAGGGCGGGACACGAGAAAUCCUGUCUGAAGCUGGGUCGACCACGAUCCAACCCUAAAUACUAAUACCAGAUCGAUAGUGCACAAGUACCGUGAGGGAAAGGUGAAAAGAACUGAGGUGAUCAGAGUGAAAUAGAACCUGAAACCAUUUGCUUACAAUCAUUCAGAGCCCUAUGUAGCAAUACAGGGUGAUGGACUGCCUUUUGCAUAAUGAGCCUGCGAGUUGUGGUGUCUGGCAAGGUUAAGCAAACGCGAAGCCGUAGCGAAAGCGAGUCUGAAUAGGGCGCUUAGUCAGAUGCUGCAGACCCGAAACGAAGUGAUCUAUCCAUGAGCAAGUUGAAGCUAGUGUAAGAACUAGUGGAGGACUGA
rnacentral:rRNA from 1 species